rnacentral:rRNA from 1 species
UACAGAGGGUGCGAGCGUUAAUCGGAAUUACUGGGCGUAAAGCGUGCGUAGACGGUCAAGUAAGUCGGGUGUGAAAGCCCCGGGCUCAACCUGGGAAUUGCGAUGAAGACUGCAAGGCUUGAAUCUGGCAGAGGGGGGUAGAAUUCCACGUGUAGCAGUGAAAUGCGUAGAGAUGUGGAGGAACACCGAUGGCGAAGGCAGCCCCCUGGGUCAAGAUUGACGCUCAUGCACGAAAGCGUGGGGAGCAAACAGG